rnacentral:rRNA from 1 species
ACGCUGGCGGCACGCUUAACACAUGCAAGUCGAACGAAGUAGCAAUACUUAGUGGCGAACGGGUGAGUAUAAUGUGGGAAUCUGCCUUUUGGUUUGGAAUAACACGGGGAAACUUGUGCUAAUACCGGAUAAGCCUUCACAGGGAAAGCUUUAGCGCCAGAAGAUGAGCCCACACUUGAUUAGCUAGUUGGUAAGGUAAUGGCUUACCAAGGCUACGAUCAAUAGCUGAUCUGAGAGGAUGAUCAGCCACAUUGGGACUGAGACACGGCCCAAACUCCUACGGGAGGCAGCAGUGGGGAAUCUUGCACAAUGGGGGAAACCCUGAUGCAGCGAUGCCGCGUGAGUGAAGAAGGCCUUUGGGUUGUAAAGCUCUUUCGUCGGGGAAGAAAAUGACUGUACCCGAAUAAGAAGGUCCGGCUAACUUCGUGCCAGCAGCCGCGGUAAUACGAAGGGACCUAGCGUAGUUCGGAAUUACUGGGCUUAAAGAGCUCGUAGGUGGUCAGAAAAGUUGGUGGUGAAAUCCCAAGGCUUAACCUUGGAACUGCCACUAAAACUUUUUGACUAGAGUAUGAUAGAGGAAAGUGGAAUUUCUAGUGUAGAGGUGAAAUUCGUAGAUAUUAGAAAGAACACCGAUUGCGAAGGCAACUUUCUGGAUCAUUACUGACACUGAGGAGCGAAAGCAUGGGUAGCGAAGAGGAUUAGAUACCCUCGUAGUCCAUGCCGUAAACGAUGUGUGCUAGACGUUGGAAACUUAGUUUUCAGUGUCGCAGCGAAAGCGUUAAGCACACCGCCUGGGGAGUACGACCGCAAAGGGUAAACUUAAAUGAGAAUUGACGU